UACGGAGGGUGCAAGCGUUAUCCGGAUUCACUGGGUUUAAAGGGUGCGUAGGUGGGUUGGUAAGUCAGUGGUGAAAUCCCCGAGCUUAACUUGGGAACUGCCAUUGAUACUAUCAGUCUUGAAUACCGUGGAGGUCGGCGGAAUAUGUCAUGUAGCGGUGAAAUGCUUAGAUAUGACAUAGAACACCAAUUGCGAAGGCAGCUGGCUACACGAAUAUUGACACUGAGGCACGAAAGCGUGGGGAUCAAACAGG
rnacentral:rRNA from 1 species